rnacentral:rRNA from 2 species
GCUCAGGACGAACGCUGGCGGCGUGCUUAACACAUGCAAGUCGAACGGUGAUGUCAGAGCUUGCUCUGGCGGAUCAGUGGCGAACGGGUGAGUAACACGUGAGUAACCUGCCCCCGACUCUGGGAUAACUGCUAGAAAUGGUAGCUAAUACCGGAUAUGACGAUUGGCCGCAUGGUCUGGUCGUGGAAAGAAUUUCGGUUGGGGAUGGACUCGCGGCCUAUCAGGUUGUUGGUGAGGUAAUGGCUCACCAAGCCUACGACGGGUAGCCGGCCUGAGAGGGUGACCGGCCACACUGGGACUGAGACACGGCCCAGACUCCUACGGGAGGCAGCAGUGGGGAAUAUUGCACAAUGGGCGAAAGCCUGAUGCAGCAACGCCGCGUGAGGGAUGACGGCCUUCGGGUUGUAAACCUCUUUUAGUAGGGAAGAAGCGAAAGUG